rnacentral:misc_RNA from 1 species
CAACUUCCACCUGGCAUACCUCUUCAAUCAUACGUUAAAGGCUUGUAUCGCUUGUAAUGUAUUGUGGGUUUUCUGUGUUGUAUACCGAACUAACGGAAUUGUUUUGAUUGAGUAGAGUACCUUUUUGUCAUGUGGUGUGCUUAUCUCACUUGGCGAACCUUGAAGUCAUCUCUACGAUCCCUCUUGUUGACACAUAUGUGACAAUGAUUUGGCUCGUUGAUAUUAGCUUGGUAUCUUGGAUAUGGAACACAAUGUGAGCAUGAGUUAUCUUUUGGUUCUUGUUUUGCUCUUUGUUUUGUGUUCUCUAGUACGACAGUUCAUAUACGUACUGGCUUGUUCAUGCGUGAUGUUCUAUGUCGAAAAGGAAUGCUACCUGGUUGAUCCUGCCAGUAGUCAUAUGCUUGUCUCAAAGAUUAAGCCAUGCAUGUGUAAGUA